CAGCAGCCACGGUAAUACGGAGGGUGCAAGCGUUAAUCGGAAUUACUGGGCGUAAAGCGCACGCAGGCGGUCUGACAAGUCAGAUGUGAAAUCCCCGGGCUUAACCUGGGAACUGCAUUUGAAACUGUCAGGCUGGAGUCUUGUAGAGGGGGGUGGAAUUCCAGGUGUAGCGGUGAAAUGCGUAGAGAUCUGGAGGAAUACCGGUGGCGAAGGCGGCCCCCUGGACAAAGACUGACGCUCAGGUGCGAAAGCGUGGGGAGCAAACAGGAUUAGAUACCCGCGUAGUCCCUGUCUCUUAUCC
rnacentral:rRNA from 1 species